GAUGAACGCUGGCGGCGUGCCUAAUACAUGCAAGUCGAGCGAACAGACGAGGAGCUUGCUCCUCUGACGUUAGCGGCGGACGGGUGAGUAACACGUGGAUAACCUACCUAUAAGACUGGGAUAACUUCGGGAAACCGGAGCUAAUACCGGAUAAUAUAUUGAACCGCAUGGUUCAAUAGUGAAAGACGGUUUUGCUGUCACUUAUAGAUGGAUCCGCGCCGCAUUAGCUAGUUGGUAACGUAACGGCUUACCAAGGCAACGAUGCGUAGCCGACCUGAGAGGGGGAUGGGCCCCACUGGGACUGAGACACGGUCCAGAGUCCUAGGGGAGGCCGCAGUAGGGAAUCUUCCGCAAUGGGCGAAAGCUUGACGGAGCAACGCCGCGUGAGUGAUGAAGGUCUUCGGAUCGUAAAACUCUGUUAUUAGGGAAGAACAAAUGUGUAAGUAACUAUGCACGUCUUGACGGUACCUAAUCAGAAAGCAACGGCUAACUACGUG
rnacentral:rRNA from 1 species